rnacentral:rRNA from 1 species
GAUGAACGCUGGCGGCGUGCCUAAUACAUGCAAGUCGAGCGCACAGACGAGGAGCUUGCUCCUCUGCCGUUAGCGGCGAAGGGGUGAGUAACACGUGGAUAACCUACCUUUAAGACUGGGAUAACUUCGGGAAACCGGUGCUAAUACCGGCUAAUAUAUCGAACCGCAUUGUUCAAUAGUGAAAGACGGUUUUGCUGUCACUUAUAGAUGGAUCCGCGGCGCCUUAGCUAGGUGGUGAGGUGACGGGUUACCAAGGCGGCCAUGCAGAGCCGACCUGAGCGGGGGGUCGGACACAAGGGGAAUGAGACACGGCCCAGACGCCUACGGGAGGCAGCAGUAGGGAAUCGUUGGCAAUGGACGCAAGUCUGAACGAGCAACGACGCGUGAGUGAAGAAGGUUUUCGGAUCGUAAAACUCUGUUGUUAGAGAAGAACAAGGAUGGGAGUGGAAAGUUCAUCCCUUGACGGUAUCUAACCAGAAAGCCACGGCUAACUACGUG